rnacentral:rRNA from 1 species
CAGGCCUAACACAUGCAAGUCGAACGGUAACAGGAAGAAGCUUGCUUCUUUGCUGACGAGUGGCGAACGGGUGAGUAAUGUCUGGGAAACUGCCUGAUGGAGGGGGAUAACUACUGGAAACGGUAGCUAAUACCGCAUAACGUCGCAAGACCAAAGAGGGGGACCUUCGGGCCUCUUGCCAUCGGAUGUGCCCAGAUGGGAUUAGCUAGUAGGUGGGGUAACGGCUCACCUAGGCGACGAUCCCUAGCUAGUCUGAGAGGACGACCAGCCACACUGGAACUGAGACACGGUCCAGACUCCUACGGAGGCAGCAGUGGGGAAUAUUGCACAAUGGGCGCAAGCCUGAUGCAGCCAUGCCGCGUGUAUGAAGAAGGCCUCCGGGUUGUAAAGACUUUCAGCGGGGAGGAAGGGAGUAAAGUUAAUACCUUUGCUCAUUGACGUUACCCGCAGAAGAAGCACCGGCUAACUCCGUGCCAGCAGCCGCGGUAAUACGGAGGGUGCAAGCGUUAAUCGGAAUUACUGGGCGUAAAGCGCACGCAGGCGGUUUGUUAAGUCAGAUGUGAAAUCCCCGGGCUCAACCUGGGAACUGCAUCUGAUACUGGCAAGCUUGAGUCUCGUAGAGGGGGGUAGAAUUCCAGGUGUAGCGGUG